rnacentral:rRNA from 1 species
AGCAGCCGCGGUAAUUCCAGCUCCAAUAGCGUAUAUUAAAGUUNGUUGCAGUUAAAAAGCUCGUAGUUGAAUUUCGGGGUUAGUAGGUUGGUCAUGCCUCUGGUAUGUACUGGUCUCACUGAUUCCUCCUUCCUGAUGAGCCGUAAUGCCAUUAAUUUGGUGUUGCGGGGAAUUUGGACUGUUACUUUGAAAAAGUUAGAGUGUUUAAAGCAAGCUAACGCUUGAAUACAUUAGCAUGGAAUAAUGAAAUAGGACGUUCGAUCCUAUUUUGUUGGUUUCUAGGAUUGACGUAAUGAUUAAUAGGGAUAGUUGGGGGCAUUAGUAUUCAAUUGUCAGAGGUGAAAUUCUUGGAUUUAUUGAAGACUAACUACUGCGAAAGCAUUUGCCAAGGAUGUUUUCAUUAAUCAAGAACGAAAGUUAGGGGAUCGAAGACGAUCAGAUACCGUCGUAGUCUUAACCAUAAACUAUGCCGACUAGGGAUCGGAUGAUGUUAAUUUUUUAAUGACUCAUUCGGCGCCUUACG